AUUGAACGCUGGCGACAGGCCUAACACAUGCAAGUCGAACGAGUGGCGGACGGGUGAGGAAUGGCUGGGAAAAUGCCUGAUGGAGGGGGAUAACUACUGGAAACGGUAGCUAAUACCGCAUACCAUCGGAUGUGCCCAGAUGGGAUUAGCGAGUAGGGGGGGUAAAGGAUCACCUAGGCGACGAGCCCUAGCUGGUCUGCGAGGAUGACCAGCCACACUGGAACUGAGACACGGUCCAGACUCCUACGGGAGGCAGCAGUGGGGAAUAUUGCACAAUGGGCGCAAGCCUGAUGCAGCCAUGCCGCGUGUAUGAAGAAGGCCUUCGGGUUGUAAAGUACUUUCAGCGGGGAGGCGUUACCCGCAGAAGAAGCACCGGCUAACUCCGUGCCAGCAGCCGCGGUAAUUC
rnacentral:rRNA from 1 species